CAAGCGAACGCGCGCCGUCGCUGUCAUUCAUUGGAGCAUACACUCAGUUCUCUCUGCUGAUUAUCAGCUUUGCUAUAGCUCCUGUUCAAUUUUUCUUUUUGAUUAGCUUUGUUUCUCUCUCGAAAGGAACCGAUAAACAAAUGCCACCGCCAUCUCGUCUGGAUGCUGUGUGCGAUACCGCGACGACUGCUACCACGAACUUGGAAGAUCUGCAGGAGCUCUGUAGGCGAGUGCAGCUGCUUCGAAAGGGUGUGAAUGACAUCUGCAAUAGGAAAAUCCCUGCAUUGGAGUCCUCAAUAGAGCAGUUCCAUGAGACUCAUUUGCAUCGCCUUUUGGCAACAAAGGAUGAUUUUAAGAAGGAUUUGCCGGUACACUCUAUCGGUUUGCUUCUCAGCUCGAUCGACGCAUUGUUUUUGAGGGCAGAGAAUUCUUCUCAAAAGGGGUGGACAGCUGCGCGCCGGAGUUCUGCUGCGGAGUCUUCGUCGACUACCAUCUUUGCUGUUGGGUACUCGCCUGAAACCAUGGUCCCCGACUCCAGUCUCGUUCACUAUGUAGAGCCCAAUAAACUGGAAAUUAGGCCUUGUGGUAGCAGCCCUAAUUGCCGACCUCCUGAGAGAGAACGUGUGACGCGCUUGACUGCUACUGCUGCUGCCGAGAAGCCUGCCUCUGGUGGGUUCGGCUUUGGCGCGGGUGCUGGUGCUGCCGAGAAGCCUGCCGGUGCGCCGGAGAGCAAGCCUGCCUCUGGUGGGUUCGGCUUUGGCGCGGGUGCUGGUGCUGCCGAGAAGCCUGCCGGUGCGCCGGAGAGCAAGCCUGCCUCUGGUGGGUUCGGCUUUGGCGCGGGUGCUGCUGCCGAGAAGCCUGCCGGUGCGCCGGAGAGCAAGCCUGCCUCUGGUGGGUUCGGCUUUGGCGCGGGUACUGCUGCUGCCGAGAAGCCUGCCGGUGCGCCGGAGAGCAAGCCUGCCUCUGGUGGGUUCGGCUUUGGCGCGGGUACUGCUGCUGCCGAGAAGCCUGCCGGUGCGCCGGAGAGCAAGCCUGCCUCUGGUGGGUUCGGCUUUGGCGCGGGUGCUGCUGCUGCCGAGAAGCCUGCCGGUGCGCCGGAGAGCAAGCCUGCCUCUGGUGGGUUCGGCUUUGGCGCGGGUGCUGCUUCUGCCGAGAAGCCUGCCGGUGCGCCGGAGAGCAAGAAGCCUGCCUCUGGUGGGUUCGGCUUUGGCGCGGGUACUGCUGCUGCCGAGAAGCCUGCCGGUGCGCCGGAGAGCAAGAAGCCUGCCUCUGGUGGGUUCGGCUUUGGCGCGGGUGCUGCUGCUGCCGAGAAGCCUGCCGGUGCGCCGGAGAGCAAGCCUGCCUCUGGUGGGUUCGGCUUUGGCGCGGGUGCUGCUGCUGCCGAGAAGCCUGCCGGUGCGCCGGAGAGCAAGCCUGCCUCUGGUGGUUCGGCUUUGGCGCGGGUGCUGCUGCUGCCGAGAAGCCUGCCGGUGCGCCGGAGAGCAAGCCUGCCUCUGGUGGGUUCGGCUUUGGCGCGGGUGCUGCUGUGCGGGCUGCGGUGGCGGAGGCAGCUGCCUGGGGGUUGGCGCGGGUGCUGCUGCUGCCGAGAAGCCUGCCGGUGCGCCGGAGAGCAAGCCUGCCUCUGGUGGGUUCGGCUUUGGCGCGGGUGCUGCUGCUGCCGAGAAGCCUGCCGGUGCGCCGGAGAGCAAGCCUGCCUCUGGUGGGUUCGGCUUUGGCGCGGGUACUGCUGCUGCCGAGAAGCCUGCCGGUGCGCCGGAGAGCAAGCCUGCCUCUGGUGGGUUCGGCUUUGGCGCGGGUACUGCUGCUGCCGAGAAGCCUGCCGGUGCACCGGAGAGCAAGCCUGCCUCUGGUGGGUUCGGCUUUGGCGCGGGUGCUGCUGCUGCCGAGAAGCCUGCCGGUGCGCCGGAGAGCAAGAAGCCUGCCUCUGGUGGGUUCGGCUUUGGCGCGGGUGCUGCUGCUGCCGAGAAGCCUGCCGGUGCGCCGGAGAGCAAGCCUGCCUCUGGUGGGUUUGGGCAGUCCCCGUCGACCGCCUUCGGUAAGGCCCCUCCAGGCCCAAGUGCCUUCGGCCAGACACCGCCGGCGGGAGCUGCACAGCCGGUCGCUGGAGGGUUUGGACAGGCCCCGUCGACCGCCUUCGGUAAGGCCCCUCCAGGCUCAAGUGCCUUCGGCCAGACACCGCCGGCGGGAGCUGCGCAGCCGGUCGCUGGAGGGUUUGGACAGGCCCCGUCGACCGCCUUCGGUAAGGCCCCUCCAGGCUCAAGUGCCUUCGGCCAGACACCGCCGGCGGGAGCUGCGCAGCCGGUCGCUGGAGGGUUUGGACAGGCCCCGUCGACCGCCUUCGGGAAGGCCCCUCCAGGCCCAAGUGCCUUCGGCCAGACACAGCCGGCGGGAGCUGCGCAGCCGGUCGCUGGAGGGUUUGGACAGGCCCCGUCGACCGCCUUCGGUAAGGCCCCUCCAGGCUCAAGUGCCUUCGGCCAGACACCGCCGGCGGGAGCUGCGCAGCCGGUCGCUGGAGGGUUUGGACAGGCCCCGUCGACCGCCUUCGGGAAGGCCCCUCCAGGCCCAAGUGCCUUCGGCCAGACACAGCCGGCGGGAGCUGCGCAGCCGGUCGCUGGAGGGUUUGGACAGGCCCCGUCGACCGCCUUCGGUAAGGCCCCUCCAGGCUCAAGUGCCUUCGGCCAGACACCGCCGGCGGGAGCUGCGCAGCCGGUCGCUGGAGGGUUUGGACAGGCCCCGUCGACCGCCUUCGGUAAGGCCCCUCCAGGCUCAAGUGCCUUCGGCCAGACACCGCCGGCGGGAGCUGCGCAGCCGGUCGCUGGAGGGUUUGGACAGGCCCCGUCGACCGCCUUCGGUAAGGCCCCUCCAGGCCCAAGUGCCUUCGGCCAGACACCGCCGGCGGGAGCUGCGCAGCCGGUCGCUGGAGGGUUUGGACAGGCCCCGUCGACCGCCUUCGGUAAGGCCCCUCCAGGCCCAAGUGCCUUCGGCCAGACACCGCCGGCGGGAGCUGCGCAGCCGGUCGCUGGAGGGUUUGGACAGGCCCCGUCGACCGCCUUCGGUAAGGCCCCUCCAGGCCCAAGUGCCUUCGGCCAGACACCGCCGGCGGGAGCUGCGCAGCCGGUCGCUGGAGGGUUUGGACAGGCCCCGUCGACCGCCUUCGGUAAGGCAGUGUGUGGGUUUGGAGCGGGCAGCGCGUGCGGCAUCAGCGGCGGGUUCGGAUCGGGUUCCACCACCGCGAGCUUUUGCUCUGCAGCGACGCCAGUGUUCGGUCCUACAAGCGCAUUUACGAGUGCGUUUGGUGGCGCUCCGCAAGGCGGCGGCUUCUCGAGCGUGCCAAAGAGCGCCUUUUCCGGCGGAGGCAACACAAACAGUGCGUUUGGCGCGUCGUCCUUCAGUUCACUGGCUGCAAAUUUCCAUUGAGGCGGUCAUUGGAUCACUUUCUUGUUGGUUUCCGAUCCCUAACAGACUUUGUGUCGGCUGUGUCGGCAUUGAUGAAUUUGGGGAAGUAGUGUUGUGGUGCUUUGCGGCUUGUGGCUCCCCUUGAGGGUUCUGCUCCGGCCCUGGCAUACUUUCAGAAGGGGCGUGAAGCUCAAGGCGGGACAUGCACUCCCCUCGAGUUGGUGCUUUCUCCGACGUAGAGUUUGUGUGCGUUUGCAUUUGUGCAUGUGUGUGUCUUCGUGCUCGUGAGCGGUCCCGUUUCUUUCUGUUGGCUUCAUUCGAGUGCCUCAGACGCUUUUUAUGGGCGAGGCGCGGUAUUCCAGUUGUGCGGAUUGUGACGGCUGAUGUGUGAUGGUGCUGGCAGAAGUGUUAUCGGCGAUCUAGACACUACUCGGUUGUAGUUUGUGCUUCUCAGCCUGUUUGAAGGCUAAGGUGUUCCUACUCGUUGUCGCGGGAAAUUCCUUUAUUGUGUACAAUUG
rnacentral:misc_RNA from 1 species